rnacentral:SRP_RNA from 1 species
UUGUUGUGUGGAAUUGUGACUCGAGCUUUCGAGAGCGAGCAGUUUCCUUGUGAAUGUUUGAAUUUGGUGUUCGGUCCAGCGUUGUACAUCGACGGCGUGCCCCAUCUAAGUGCCGGGUCCCCGUGACCAACCAAGAGGAGUCUUGGGUGGACAUGGUGGUUAAAGCGGGGGGCACCGCGUGAGGCCGGACAACGGAGCAGCGACGACUCGCCGCCUGGGACAGUAGAGGGAAGACGCGCCUGAGUGCCUCGAU